rnacentral:rRNA from 1 species
AUGCAAGUCGAGGGGCAGCGGGGAGGUAGCAAUACCUUUGCCGGCGACCGGCGCACGGGUGAGUAACACGUAUGCAAUCCACCUGUAACAGGGGGAUAACCCGGAGAAAUCCGGACUAAUACCCCAUAAUAUGGGCUCUCCGCAUGGAGGGUUCAUUAAAGAGAGCAAUUUUGGUUACAGACGAGCAUGCGCUCCAUUAGCCAGUUGGCGGGGUAACGGCCCACCAAAGCGACGAUGGAUAGGGGUUCUGAGAGGAAGGUCCCCCACAUUGGAACUGAGACACGGUCCAAACUCCUACGGGAGGCAGCAGUGAGGAAUAUUGGUCAAUGGUCGGCAGACUGAACCAGCCAAGUCGCGUGAGGGAAGACGGCCCUACGGGUUGUAAACCUCUUUUGUCGGAGAGUAAAGUACGCUACGUGUAGCGUAUUGCAAGUAUCCGAAGAAAAAGCAUCGGCUAACUCCGUGCCAGCAGCCGCGGUAAUACGGAGGAUGCGAGCGUUAUCCGGAUUUAUUGGGUUUAAAGGGUGCGUAGGCGGCACGCCAAGUCAGCGGUGAAAUUUUCGGGCUCAACCCGGACUGUGCCGUUGAAACUGGCGAGCUAGAGUGCACAAGAGGCAGGCGGAAUGCGUGGUGUAGCGGUGAAAUGCAUAGAUAUCACGCAGAACCCCGAUUGCGAAGGCAGCCUGCUAGGGUGCGACAGACGCUGAGGCACGAAAGCGUGGGUAUCGAACAGGA